AAAGACCUCUCCUCAUCUGUGAACGGACAAGUGGCCGACUCUGGAGCCCAGGCUGUUGCUUGCCAGUCUGGUGGUGAAUCCUCCAUAGUCUGAUGCAGCAGAAGGCCCUCACCAGAUCCCAAAUAUGAGUGCUUUGAUCUUGGACUUCCCAGCCUUCAAACUAUGUGUUCGGAGUUUCUUCCUUCUGGUGGGUUCGUGGUCUCGCUGGCUCAGGAGUGAAGCUACAGACCUUCACGUGUUACAAUGAACAUACUUGAACAUGUAUCUUUCUGCAACCUCCUCAUAUUUAAUGUGAUGCCAGUCAACAUCUUAACAGAAGUUUUCCAGAGAACUUGACAAGCUCCUGAAAUUCAAAUGAAAACAGGAACCAAGAACAGCCAAAAACCCUUUUGAAGACUAAUAAUAAGGAAAUCCUGCCAUAUCAAAAUACAUUUUAAUGUUCUAAUAAAGUAGUAUGGUAUUGUUAUAAGAGACAUAUCAAUACAAUAGAGAACUUAGGACACACAUAGGUUUGGUCUGUGAUAGAGGUGACAUUAUAGAUCAAUGGAGGAAAAAAAUGUUCAAUAAGUGAAUCCUCAUAUUGAAAAAGAUAAAAUUAGAUCUAAUGAUAUGGUUUGGUUGUGUCCCCACCCAAAAUCUCAUCCUGAAUUGUAAUCCCCAUAAUCCCCACACGUCAAGGGUGGGAUGAGGUGGAGGUAACUGGAUGAUGGGGAUGGUUUGCCCUAUGUUGUUCUCAUGAUAGUGAGUGAGUUCUCACGAGAUGUAAUGGUUUUAUAAGCAUCUGGCAUUUCCCCUGCUCGCUUCUCCCCCCCUGCUGCUCUGUGACUAGGUGCCUUCUACCAUGAUUCUACGUUUCCUAAGGCCUCCCCAGCCAUGCUGAACUGUGAGUCAAUUAAACCUCUUUCCUUUAUAA
rnacentral:lncRNA from 1 species